UUGUGUAGCUCUCUCCGAACAGCACUCCUGGGCUCUUACGGUUUCUCCUUAUCAACACUGCCAUCUGCAUUGCCCAGACUGCGGGCAGGGAGAGGAAAGACCUGACCUCAAUGUACCCAUGAAGUGAGCCCCUACUGAACAUGGCGCCGUCUGGUCGUAGCAGCGUCAAACGGAGAUGCAGAAGAUGUCUGUAUUGGAUCCCCGUGUUAUUUAUCUCCAUCAUCGUUUGCUGGUCUUACUACGCCUAUGUGAUCCAGCUCUGCAUAGUGUCCAUGGACAAUGUUGGUGAGAAAGUGUUGUGUCUAAUAUCGUAUCACUUCUUUGUUCUGCUUUUUGUCUGGUCCUACUGGAAAACCAUCUUUACUUUACCAAUGAAUCCAGCAAAAGAGUUUCAUCUGUCGUAUGCAGACAAAGAGCUCCUAGAAAGGGAACCAAGAGGAGAAUCCCAACAAGAGGUUUUGAGGAGACUAGCCAAGGACCUUCCAGUCUACACCAGGACAAUGUCAGGAGCCAUCAGAUACUGUGACAGAUGCCAGCUUGUAAAACCUGACCGCUGUCAUCACUGCUCAGUCUGUGAUAAGUGUAUACUGAAAAUGGACCAUCAUUGUCCUUGGGUGAACAACUGUGUUGGAUUCUCAAACUACAAAUUUUUCCUCCUCUUUUUGGCGUACUCACUGUUAUACUGCCUUUUUAUUGUUGCUACAGACUUACAGUAUUUCAUCAAGUUCUGGACGAAUGGUCUGCCUGACACUCAAGCCAAAUUCCACAUCAUGUUUUUGUUUUUUGCUGCUGCCAUGUUUUCUGUGAGCCUGUCCUCCCUGUUUGGCUAUCACUGUUGGCUGGUCUGCAAGAAUCGAUCUACAUUAGAAGCAUUCAGAGCUCCUGUAUUUCGACACGGUACAGACAAAAAUGGUUUUAGUCUUGGCAUUAGUAAAAAUCUGCGACAGGUAUUUGGGGAUGAAAAGAAAUAUUGGUUGCUGCCUGUCUUUACUAGCCUGGGAGAUGGUUGUUCUUUUCCUACGUGCCUUGUGAACCAGGAUGUUGAACAGGUGACCACACCUACUGGAGUUAGUGCCACAGCCAAAAGUAUUGAUAAUCAUCCCUUCCCAGCAAAACCUCUUCGUGAAUCUCAAAGCCACCUUCUAACUGAUACCCAGCCUUGGACUGAAAGCAAUGGAAACAGUGAAAAGGACAAACUUGGAGGAUGAUCCAUAUACUCAGAAACCGGCAAUGGUAUUGGAUACAAACUACAGCAAUUUAUACUGGACAAAUAAAUGCUUAACACAAAGGUAUGAGUAACCCUGGAUUAACUAUUGAAAAUGAAACGUAGCUCUUCAGGAUAAAAUGGUUUGAAAUCAGUGUUGAAAAAUUUGGAUAAGGAAGAAGUCACGCUCCCAUUGGCAAGCAUUACAUCUGUAUCAAGGUGGAUGUGAUUACAACAGCAAAAAAUAUAAAUAACAGCACCUAAUUGGCUUGCUUCAUAACCGCUUAAAACAUGACAACAACAUAUCCCCUGGUAUUGUACCAGCACCAGGAAAUGUAAACAUAAGUGUGGUUUCUAAGAACAGUGACCUAAGGAAGAGGAACUCUGUAGUGUAAAAUCUUCACAGUCCUGUGUUGUAUACAAUGUAAGGCCGUAUUUUGACUGUGUUUAUGAUAUUAUAGCACAAACCCAGCAUACAUGUGAUUCCUCUUAAAUGAAGGAACAUCCGUUCUGUAUUUCGUGAAUGCCGAAUUACUCCUUUUGAAAACCAGUAUUGAUCAAAUCAUUUUUACUGUUAAAGUAGCAGUAUUGAGGCCAAUUAAAUGUUAUUGAUACCAUUAAAUAACAUACCAUCAAAUUAUUUUACAGGUAACUUAUUUUUAUUAUGCCACAAAUACUGUAGUUUAAGACAAAGAUCAAGUACUUAAAAAGUGAUCUAUUUAUAAAAAGUUAUUCUUCAUUAAAUCUUAUACAGUUAUUAAACAAACACAA